CUUUCCAGGACUUGCCUUCUAGCUUCCAGAGGUUCCCUGCCGCCCUGGUUUAAUCUUCUGAUAUAUGCCUCUGAUUCAUUUCUCCACACCUCCUACCUUGCAGAAAGCGGUCGCUGUUCUAUUUGUAGAAUUGCAACAAUUCUUUUCUUGGAUCUCUGUCUGAGUCCACAGGUGUUCAGAAUGAUUUGAUACCUAUGUAGCUGAAUCCCAGACACCAGACAAAACUAGGGUCUCCUACUCCUCCACCAUCGUCCUCUUCUUCCAGAAAUUCUGUAUAUUCGAUUGAUCAAUAUUAAUUGUACUUUUUAUUAGAAUCCUCUAAACAGCAUUAUAGGUUUCUUCUCAGUUAUCCAGAUUAAAAUAAGUAGGGAUUUAUUUUAUUUAUGUGAUUAGCUUUCUAUUUAAGCAAAUUGUAGCUUUUACUUUCUAAAAGUAUCAUUUCCAGACCACGUUUCAUAAGCAAAAUAAAAUUCCUACAAUAAUGUCUCUUGUUUAACUUGAACAUUGUAAGUAACGUUUAACUUAUUUCAGAUGCAGCAGAUGUUGGAAGACAGUAUAAUCAGAGAACUAAAAGAAGUUGCUCAUGAUUGAGAAUCAGGAUUCUGUAGAUCUCCUUUAGGACCUACUGACGAAUCAAAUGUAAAUCAAGAUCUAGUACUGCAAGCAUCACGAGAAUAUGUAGAGAUUUUGAAUAGAAAGUAUAUGAUCUGAAAGCUAUAUAGUAAAAGUUUAUUACCUAGAUGUUUAAUAUAACAUUUUAAUUGUUUCCCAGUAAAUAUCUGAUGUACAAAAAAUCUUUAUUAAAGGAAAUGUUGUUAUAUCGUG